rnacentral:tRNA from 1 species
CGAAAAGCCCCUCGCUUACACCGAGAAAAUGUCUGUUUACCCAAACUAUUUUGA